UGGGGAAUAUUGGACAAUGGGCGCAAGCCUGAUCCAGCCAUGCCGCGUGUGUGAAGAAGGCCUUUUGGUUGUAAAGCACUUUAAGCGAGGAGGAGGCUACUUGGAUUAAUACUCUAGGAUAGUGGACGUUACUCGCAGAAUAAGCACCGGCUAACUCUGUGCCAGCAGCCGCGGUAAUACAGAGGGUGCGAGCGUUAAUCGGAUUUACUGGGCGUAAAGCGUGCGUAGGCGGCUUCUUAAGUCGGAUGUGAAAUCCCUGAGCUUAACUUAGGAAUUGCAUUCGAUACUGGGAAGCUAGAGUAUGGGAGAGGAUGGUAGGAUUCCAGGUGUAGCGGUGAAAUGCGUAGAGAUCUGGAGAAAUACCGAUGGCGAAGGCAGCCAUCUGGCCUAAUACUGACGCUGAGGUACGAAAGCAUGGUGAGCAAACAGG
rnacentral:rRNA from 1 species